rnacentral:rRNA from 1 species
CUCCCUACCGGAGGCAGCAGUGGGGAAUAUUGGACAAUGGGCGAAAGCCUGAUCCAGCCAUGCCGCGUGUGUGAAGAAGGUCUUCGGAUUGUAAAGCACUUUAAGUUGGGAGGAAGGGUUGUAGAUUAAUACUCUGCAAUUUUGACGUUACCGACAGAAUAAGCACCGGCUAACUCUGUGCCAGCAGCCGCGGUAAUACAGAGGGUGCAAGCGUUAAUCGGAAUUACUGGGCGUAAAGCGCGCGUAGGUGGUUCGUUAAGUUGGAUGUGAAAUCCCCGGGCUCAACCUGGGAACUGCAUCCAAAACUGGCGAGCUAGAGUAUGGUAGAGGGUGGUGGAAUUUCCUGUGUAGCGGUGAAAUGCGUAGAUAUAGGAAGGAACACCAGUGGCGAAGGCGACCACCUGGACUGAUACUGACACUGAGGUGCGAAAGCGUGGGGAGCAAACAGGAUUAGAUACCCUGGUAGUCCACGCCGUAAACGAUGUCAACUAGCCGUUGGGAGCCUUGAGCUCUUAGUGGCGCAGCUAACGCAUUAAGUUGACCGCCUGGGGAGUACGGCCGCAAGGUUAAAACUCAAAUGAAUUGACGGGGGCCCGCACAAGCGGUGGAGCAUGUGGUUUAAUUUGAAGCAACGCGAAGAACCUUACCAGGCCUUGACAUCCAAUAACUUGCCAGAGAUGGAUUGGGCCUUCA